rnacentral:rRNA from 1 species
UUUAUGGAGAGUUUGAUCCUGGCUCAGGAUGAACGCUGGCGGCGUGCCUAAUACAUGCAAGUCGAGCGAACGGACGAGAAGCUUGCUUCUCUGAUGUUAGCGGCGGACGGGUGAGUAACACGUGGAUAACCUACCUAUAAGACUGGGAUAACUUCGGGAAACCGGAGCUAAUACCGGAUAAUAUUUUGAACCGCAUGGUUCAAAAGUGAAAGACGGUCUUGCUGUCACUUAUAGAUGGAUCCGCGCUGCAUUAGCUAGUUGGUAAGGUAACGGCUUACCAAGGCAACGAUGCAUAGCCGACCUGAGAGGGUGAUCGGCCACACUGGAACUGAGACACGGUCCAGACUCCUACGGGAGGCAGCAGUAGGGAAUCUUCCGCAAUGGGCGAAAGCCUGACGGAGCAACGCCGCGUGAGUGAUGAAGGUCUUCGGAUCGUAAAACUCUGUUAUUAGGGAAGAACAUAUGUGUAAGUAACUGUGCACAUCUUGACGGUACCUAAUCAGAAAGCCACGGCUAACUACGUGCCAGCAGCCGCGGUAAUACGUAGGUGGCAAGCGUUAUCCGGAAUUAUUGGGCGUAAAGCGCGCGUAGGCGGUUUUUUAAGUCUGAUGUGAAAGCCCACGGCUCAACCGUGGAGGGUCAUUGGAAACUGGAAAACUUGAGUGCAGAAGAGGAAAGUGGAAUUCCAUGUGUAGCGGUGAAAUGCGCAGAGAUAUGGAGGAACACCAGUGGCGAAGGCGACUUUCUGGUCUGUAACUGACGCUGAUGUGCGAAAGCGUGGGGAUCAAACAGGAUUAGAUACCCUGGUAGUCCACGCCGUAAACGAUGAGUGCUAAGUGUUAGGGGGUUUCCGCCCCUUAGUGCUGCAGCUAACGCAUUAAGCACUCCGCCUGGGGAGUACGACCGCAAGGUUGAAACUCAAAGGAAUUGACGGGGACCCGCACAAGCGGUGGAGCAUGUGGUUUAAUUCGAAGCAACGCGAAGAACCUUACCAAAUCUUGACAUCCUUUGACAACUCUAGAGAUAGAGCCUUCCCCUUCGGGGGACAAAGUGACAGGUGGUGCAUGGUUGUCGUCAGCUCGUGUCGUGAGAUGUUGGGUUAAGUCCCGCAACGAGCGCAACCCUUAAGCUUAGUUGCCAUCAUUAAGUUGGGCACUCUAAGUUGACUGCCGGUGACAAACCGGAGGAAGGUGGGGAUGACGUCAAAUCAUCAUGCCCCUUAUGAUUUGGGCUACACACGUGCUACAAUGGACAAUACAAAGGGCAGCGAAACCGCGAGGUCAAGCAAAUCCCAUAAAGUUGUUCUCAGUUCGGAUUGUAGUCUGCAACUCGACUACAUGAAGCUGGAAUCGCUAGUAAUCGUAGAUCAGCAUGCUACGGUGAAUACGUUCCCGGGUCUUGUACACACCGCCCGUCACACCACGAGAGUUUGUAACACCCGAAGCCGGUGGAGUAACCUUUUAGGAGCUAGCCGUCGAAGGUGGGACAAAUGAUUGGGGUGAAGUCGUAACAAGGUAGCCGUAUCGGA